CUCAAGCUAUACACACACUCAACUCUUUUAGGUUUUUAAAGCGGCUUCUCUCUCCCUCUCUCCGUCUCUCUCUCUUUUGAUCUUUCAUCAUCCUCCACUCCCCAAAAAAACAGCAACAAUGGCCGUUACUUUCUCAGAUCUACACACAGAGGAAGGUGUCAAAUCCGUGGAGGAGCACCUCGCCGGAAAAACCUACAUCUCCGGAGAUCAAUUGUCUGUGGAUGAUGUUAAGGUUUACGCUGCCGUUCCAGUGAAACCCAGCGAUGCUUUCCCUAAUGCUAGCAAGUGGUACGAGUGUGUUGCUUCUCACCUCGCUAAAAGCUUCCCAGGANAA